AAUAGCCUAACGGCUGAACCAGCAACUUGGAGGAAUGAAUAGCAAAAGCUAAUUGCACAUGUAUAUGAUGCAAUAUCGACUCAGUCGAAUAAAAUUCUGGGUAGAAUUAUGAUAAUGACAUUGUUUACUCAUGUGUCUUGACCAAAUUACGUGCCAGCAGUCGCGGUAAUACGUAGAAGACUAGUGUUAUUCAUCUUUAAUAGGUUUAAAGGGUACCUAGACGGUAAAUCAAGCCAUAGACGGGACUAAUUUGCUAGAGUUACUUGCGCGGGGGUUUUAAAGUACUAAUGGUGUAGAGAUAAAAUUUUGUAAUACCAUUUUUCGAAAGAAAAGCUAUGGCACUGGUUAAGGCGAAAGCAUCCCCUUAUGUGAUAACUGACGUUGAAGGACGAAGGCUUUGAAUCGCGAAUAGGAUUAGAUACCCUAGUAGUCAAAGCAGAGAAUUAUGAGUGUCAUAGAUUAGAGAUUAACUUUACUCUAUAAAUGAAAGUGUAAGCACUCCACCUCAAGAGUAAUUUGGCAACAUUGGAACUGAAAUCAUUAGACCGUUUCUGAAACCAGUAGUGAAGUAUGUUGUUUAAUCUGAUAAUCCGCACAACACCUUACCACAGCUUGAAUGUUUAUAUUUUUAAUAUAUUUACAAGUGUUGCAUGGCUGUCUUCAGUUAAUGUCGUGAGACUUUGGUUAGAUCCAUUAAAUUAACGCAAGCCCCUACUUUAUUUAUAAAUAAAGUCGUUCCCCACUAUAUUGGAUAUGAUAACAGGGACUAAGACAAGCCGUCAUGGCCUUAAUGCUGU
rnacentral:rRNA from 1 species